rnacentral:rRNA from 1 species
UGGGGAAUAUUGCACAAUGGGGGAAACCCUGAUGCAGCGACGCCGCGUGAGCGAAGAAGGUUUUCGAAUCGUAAAGCUCUGUCCUAUGGGAAGAUAAUGACGGUACCAUAGGAGGAAGCCCCGGCUAACUACGUGCCAGCAGCCGCGGUAAUACGUAGGGGGCAAGCGUUGUCCGGAAUCACUGGGCGUAAAGGGUUCGCAGGCGGAAAUGCAAGUCAGUUGUGAAAGGCAGAGGCUCAACCUCUGUAAGCAAUUGAAACUGUAUUUCUUGAGAUGUGGAGAGGCAAGUGGAAUUCCAAGUGUAGCGGUGAAAUGCGUAGAUAUUAGGAAGAAUACCGGUGGCGAAGGCGACUUGCUGGACACAAACUGACGCUGAGGAACGAAAGCGUGGGUAGCAAACAGG